rnacentral:rRNA from 1 species
GGUAGCGAAAUUCCUUGUCGGUUAAAUACCGACCUGCAUGAAUGGCGUAACGAGAUGGGAGCUGUCUCAAAGAGGGAUCCAGUGAAAUUGUAGUGGAGGUGAAAAUUCCUCCUACCCGCGGCAAGACGGAGAGACCCCGUGGACCUUUACUACAGCUUGACACUGCUACUUGGAUAAGAAUGUGCAGGAUAGGUGGGAGGCUUUGAGUAUAUGACGCCAGUUGUAUAUGAGCCAUUGUUGAGAUACCACUCUUUCUUAUUUGGGUAGCUAACCAGCUUGAGUUAUCCUCAAGUGGGACAAUGUCUGGUGGGUAGUUUGACUGGGGCGGUCGCCUCCCAAAUAAUAACGGAGGCUUACAAAGGUUGGCUCAGAACGGUUGGAAAUCGUUCGUAGAGUAUAAAGGUAUAAGCCAGCUUAACUGCAAGACAUACAAGUCAAGCAGAGACGAAAGUCGGUCUUAGUGAUCCGGUGGUUCUGUGUGGAAGGGCCAUCGCUCAAAGGAUAAAAGGU